UGAAUUUGCACCAUCCUUAGCAAGCGACACGUGAUCAAGAAACUGAUAUUAGGUAUUAAUGCUGCUUAUCCUCGAGAAUCGGGUAUUCUGUUUUUAUUUCUGCUUAUGUUAUAAGCCAAAUUUUAAAUUUAACCUUGAAUUUAAAGUUGAUUUUGAGAUUUUUUAUUAUAUUUUAUUUUUCAGUAUUUUUUAUCGCUAACAACACAUAUAUAAAAAUUUUAUUCAUAAAUUAUUUUCGUUUACACAUAUGUCAUUUCGUUUUUUCUUUGAAAAAGCCAAGUGAUGGCCACGAUACUCUUGUGUUAAAUUAAUUUCUUCCAAUGAUAAAUUGCCAUCUCAUUUGCAGAAUUAGUUUUGAGUUUAAAUUUUGGAGCAAAUCUAUCAAGAUUUUGGUAUGCGAAGUGCUGGAGCAAAAUAACCAUAUGCAUAGCUACAAAUACAAGAAAAGAAAGAUUAUGUCAAAAGAUUUAUGAACUGAAGAUUAUGUUACCCACGUUAAUAUACUCCCUAGAGGUUUACACCGAGUAGCUUUUAGGGUUGGCUGCACCGAGAACGCGAGAUGGAGAUGGACAAAUCAAAAUCAAAAUUGCCAUCUUUGGGAAGUUGAUGAUCCCUUUGUACUCUGUGAGAGGAUGAGCCCACUGGUUUAGCUCGGAAUGUUCUUUUUGCAGAAUAUUUUAGUCUCGCAGUAGUGAUCUCCUCAGGGUAGAAUACGGUGUUAAUAGGUGUACUACUUUCCUUAACCACAGUAACGAUAAGACUGUAAAGGGUUUAGUUGGUGGAUUGAUUUACCUGCAGAAUUAAAUGCACUUGCAAAUGGCCUUGAAUAAUUCCAUAUACUGCU
rnacentral:lncRNA from 1 species